rnacentral:rRNA from 1 species
UACGUAGGUGGCGAGCGUUGUCCGGAAUUACUGGGUGUAAAGCGCGCGUAGGCGGUAGGCCAAGUCUGCUGUGAAAUCGCCCGGCUCAACUGGGCGCGGUCGGUGGAAACUGGUCAACUGGAGGACGGUAGAGGCGAGUGGAAUUCCAGGUGUAGUGGUGAAAUGCGUAGAGAUCGGGAGGAACACCAGUGGCGAAGGCGGCUCGCUGGGCCGGACCUGACGCUGAGGCGCGAAGGCGUGGGGAGCGAACGGG